rnacentral:rRNA from 1 species
AACGAACGCUGGCAGCAUGCCUAACACAUGCAAGUCGAACGAGACCUUCGGGUCUAGUGGCGCACGGGUUCGUAACGCGUGGGAACCUGCCCUUAGGUUCGGAAUAACUCCCCGAAAGGGGUGCUAAUACCGGCUAAUGUCUUCGGACCAAAGAUUUAUCGCCUUUGGAUGGGCCCGCGUUGGAUUAGCUAGUUGGUAGGGUAAAAGCCUACCAAGGCGACGAUCCAUAGCUGGUCUGAGAGGAUGAUCAGCCACACUGGGACUGAGACACGGCCCAGACUCCUACGGGAGGCAGCAGUGGGGAAUAUUGGACAAUGGGCGAAAGCCUGAUCCAGCAAUGCCGCGUGAGUGAUGAAGGCCUUAGGGUUGUAAAGCUCUUUUACCCGGGAUGAUAAUGACAGUACCGGGAGAAUAAGCGCCGGCUAACUCCGUG